rnacentral:tRNA from 1 species
GGAUUGUGGCUCGGUGGUAGAGGUCUUGCCUAGGAUGUGUGAGGUCCUGGGUUCGAUCCUCAGCACCA